ensembl:miRNA
GGUUCCGGAGCCCCGCUGCGGGCGGAUUCUGGGGUGUAGACGCUGCUGACCAGCCCGCCCCAGCCGAGGUUCUCGGCACC